rnacentral:rRNA from 1 species
UUAAGCAUAUUAAUAAGCGGAGGAAAAGAAACUAACAAGGAUUCCCUUAGUAGCGGCGAGCGAACAGGGAUUAGCCCWUAACCGAAUCCUGCAGCGCAAGCUGUUUGGAAAUGUGGUUUUUGGUUCAUUCCUUACGGCACACUGACACGUUCUAAGUCCACGUGAUUGUGGCACCAAGCCCAUAGAGGGUGUAAGGCCCGUAUGAACGAUACUGUGUGUCCAGGGUUUGUUCCUAGAGUCGGGUUGUUUGCGAAUGCAGCCCAAAUCAGGUGGUAAACUCCAUCUAAGGCUAAAUAUAACACGAUUUCGAUAGUGAACAAGUACCAUGAGGGAAAGUUGAAAAGAACUUUGAAGAGAGAGUUCAAUAGUGCGUGAAACCGUAUGCAGGUAAACGAGCAAAACCGAAGAGGAGCGUACUCUCUUUGCAUUUCUGUUACGGCAGUGUAAUGUAAAAGGUGCUGGAUUUACCGRCCUUUUGCUUAUGCUUGUUGUGAUGUUGUGCUUUGAGGGCGGCCGACACUGCGAUCGGUGACUAGGUUAGCCUGUCAUUUAGAGGAAGGUGACUUCAUUUUAUGAAGUGUUAUAGCCUCUGAGUACAGCGCUGACUGAACACCGUUUUGCGAUGCAAGCCAUUCUGGUGUACAAAUUGAGAUGURGUAGUUGGUAUUUAUGUUAGCUCCUCGAGAUAGCGUAAAUUAUCAGUUGCUAUGUUUUAGUCUCUGUACGUUGCGUCAAUAAUUGCAGUGAAAUUUAGGUAAUUUGCUUGUCCCGUCUUGAAACACGGACCAAGGAGUUUAACAUGUACGCGAGUCAUUGGGUAUUACGAAACCUAAAGGCGCAGUGAAAGUAAAAGGCUGACAUUUCAGUCUUAGGUAGGAUCUCGGAUUCAAUGUGUUUUUCACGUGAAUUGAGCGCACUACCAGCUCGUCCUAUGCUUUAUUAAGUGGGGCGACGCAAGAGCGUACAUGUUGAGACCCGAAAGAUGGUGAACUAUGCUUGUGUAGGUUGAAGCCAGAGGAAACUCUGGUGGAGGACCGUAGCGAUUCUGACGUGCAAAUCGAUCGUCAAACAUGAGUAUAGGGGCGAAAGACUAAUCGAACCAUCUAGUAGCUGGUUCCUGCCGAAGUUUCCCUCAGGAUAGCUGGCACUCAGGAAAGAAACAGUUUUAUCCGGUAAAGCGAAUGAUUAGCAGUAUUGGGGAUGAAAUAUCCUCAACUGAUUCUCAAACUUUAAAUGGGUGAGAAGCUCAGCUCUCUUAAUUGGAGUUGCAGCAUUGAAUGUGAGUGCCUAGUGGGCCAUUUUUGGUAAGCAGAACUGGCGCUGUGGGAUGAACCAAACGUUUGGUUAAGGUGUCUAACAUAUCGCUCAUCAGAUACCACAAAAGGUGUUGGUUGAUACAGACAGCAGGACGGUGGCCAUGGAAGUCGGAAUCCGCUAAGGAGUGUGUAACAACUCACCUGCCGAAUCAACCAGCCCUGAAAAUGGAUGACGCUGUAGCGAUAGACCUAUACCAAACCGUUACUAUGAGUUGCAAAUUUGUAUAUAGUAACGAGUAGGCAGGCGCCGUGGCGAGCCUUGAAGCUUUGGUKGUAAGACUGAGUGGAGCCGUCACGGGAGCAGAUCUUGGUGGUAGUAGCAAAUAUUCAAGUGAGAACCUUGAAGACUGAAGUG